GGCUUCCCAGAUUUUGUCCCGUCGUAGAUGGUAGGCAGUCAAAAUUCGUGAUUGAAUGGUUAGUAAAGCUACACCUGGGUGACCGAACACUAUUGUUUGAAUGACUGUA
rnacentral:ncRNA from 1 species